GACUACUUUGACUGAUAAAAGAAGAUUUAUUGCAUAAUCCUUAAAUCGGUUCAUGACCAAACGAUAUGCUAUUACUAGGAUAAUAGUGAUUAUCAAGUAUAGAUUAUUGUGUAUCGUAUGCGUUGGUUGUCCUCAUAACCAGUGAUGUGGAGACACUAGUAUGGCAUGCAAGUAAGAUGUAGAGUACAUCUCAUUAAAUGUGACCAACUAUUAGAGUAUUCUGCUAUCAAGAGUAGCUCGUGAAGGAUAUGGACAUAAAUAUCCCUCCGACCUA
rnacentral:lncRNA from 1 species